rnacentral:SRP_RNA from 1 species
AAGUUGUAACAAAAGUUUUCUUAAUUUGCAAGACUUUAAGAUCAGGCUUUAACUUUUAUUAAGCAUCUGUGAAAUAUUUCCUUCCCUAAGGUCCCUUAUCAGUAAUAUAAAUAAUUUUUAUUAAGAUAAAAUUAUCUCCUAAGUUCGGCAUCAAUAUGGUGACCUCCCGGGAGCGGGGGACCACCAGGUUGUCUAAGGAGGGGUGAACCGGCCCAGGUCGGAAACGGAGCAGGUCAAAACUCCCGUGCUGAUCAGUAGUGGGAUCGCGCCUGUGAAUAGCCACUGCACUCCAGCCUGGGCAACAUAGCGAGACCCCGUCUCU